GGGGAUGUAGCUCAGUUGGUAGAGCGCUUGCUUAGCGUGCGAGAGGUACGGGGAUAGACUGCAUCUCCA
rnacentral:tRNA from 1 species